rnacentral:lncRNA from 1 species
GUGCAGCAGCUGCAUAGAAGGGAAGGCCUCUUUCUUCAAAGGUGCAUCCCUGGUCCUGGGUCCUGUGCCCAUCUGUGUACCCAGUGUCUGGCCAGAGAGAGGGUUAUGGCCUGGGGAUCAGGUGGAUGGAGAAUGGGAGUGGAGAGAAGGGGUUGUAUAGGCUGCAGGCAGUGGAGACCCUGGGGGACCUGCCUCUGUUUUCCCAAAGCUCGUUUCCUGGCUGAUGAAGACAGAGAGCCUGGCUCUUCUGCCUCCUCCGACACCGAGGAGGACUCUCUUCCUGCCAACAAAUGUAAGAAGGAGAUCAUGGUGGGACCUCAGUUCCAAGCUGACCUCAGCAACCUGCACUUGAACCGGCACUGUGAGAAGA